GCCCCCGGCGAGGCUCGGCGCCCGCCCCGCCCGCCCGCGGCCCUCAGCGCGGGCGCCGCGGAGCGACAUGGCGGCCGGGCCGCGGGCGGUGAGUGAGACGGCGGCAUGGCAUCGAGCAGGGGCAGAAGCACUCACCUGCCGGGGAAGCUGCCUCCGUCGCCGGGCUGACUUUAAACCCGCACCAGCUGCACGACGGAGGAAGCCAUCCUGCAGAAUCCUGGGGUUGUUCCGCCUCCCAAAGUCAGCUUUGGCAAGAGGGUAGCUGCUAAGCUGGGCUUCGGGCUGAAGAUCAAUAACGUUUACUGACAGGCUGAACCGGCAGCCUUGAUGACAGUGGACUUCCUGAAGAAAUCAAGAAGCGACAGAAGGCUGUCCUGGAGUGGGUCUUGCAAACAGCCACUGAUACGUGAUUUGAAACAGUGUAAGAUGGCCACCUGCGCGUAACCAGGCUCCCCCUCGCUGCGCAGUGGCUGCUGCAACCGCAUCGUGGGACCUGAUCUACAGCUGGCUGGAGGAAAAAGUGGUUCCCUGCUGAUUUCUGUUCCAGAAUAAAAUAAGUUAUGGAAAAUCAUGGCAAUUGAA